rnacentral:rRNA from 1 species
UGAACGCUAGCGAUAGGCUUAACACAUGCAAGUCGAGGGGCAGCACGGUGUAGCAAUACACUGGUGGCGACCGGCGUACGGGUGCGUAACACGUAUGCAACCUACCCGCUAUUGGGGGAUAACCCGGCGAAAGUCGGACUAAUACCCCAUAUUAUUCUUACCGGGCAUCCGGUAGGUCUGAAAGAUUUAUCGAUUGCGGAUGGGCAUGCGGAUGAUUAGCUAGUAGGUGGGGUAACGGCUCACCUAGGCGACGAUCAUUAGGGGUUCUGAGAGGAAGGUCCCCCCACACUGGAACUGAGACACGGUCCAGACUCCUACGGGAGGCAGCAGUGAGGAAUAUUGGUCAAUGGGCGCUAGCCUGAACCAGCCAAGUCGCGUGAAGGAUGAACCAGAUCUAUGGUUUGUAAACUUCUUUUGCAGGGGAGUAAAGUGCGACACGUGUGUUGUAUUGCAAGUACCCUGCGAAUAAGCAUCGGCUAACUCCGUGCCAGCCGCGGC